rnacentral:rRNA from 1 species
GUGCGCCUAACACAUGCAAGUCGAGCGGUAGAAUUGAUAUUGAGUCUUCGGAUGAUUUAUUAAUUUGAGAGCGGCGAACGGGUGAGUAACACGUUGGUAUCUGCCCCCAAGUCAGGGAUAGCCAUUGGAAACGAUGAUUAAUACCGGAUAGUCUCUUCGGAGUAAAGAUUUAUUGCUUGGGGAGGAACCUGCGUUCUAUCAGCUUGUUGGUGAGGUAAAAGCUCACCAAGGCUAUGACGGAUACCUGGUCUGAGAGGAUGAUCAGGCACAAUGGAACUGAGACACGGUCCAUACUCCUACGGGAGGCAGCAGUGAGGAAUCUUCCACAAUGGGCGAAAGCCUGAUGGAGCGACACCGCGUGAAGGAUGGAGGCCUAACGGUUGUAAACUUCUUUUCUGAAGGAGCAUAAUGAGAGUACUUCAGGAAUAAGGGACGGCUAAAUACGUGCCAGCAGCCGCGGUAAUACGUAUGUCUCGAGCGUUACCCGGAAUCACUGGGUGUAAAGGGUUUGUACGCGGCUUGUUAAGUUGGAUAUGAAAGACCGGAGCUCAAC